rnacentral:rRNA from 1 species
GGCGAACGCUGGCGGCGUGCUUAACACAUGCAAGUCGAACGGUAAGGCCCUUCGGGGUACACGAGUGGCGAACGGGUGAGUAACACGUGGGUGAUCUGCCCUGCACUUCGGGAUAAGCCUGGGAAACUGGGUCUAGUACCGGAUAGGACUCCGGACUGCAUGGUCUGGGGUGGAAAGCUUUUGCGGUGUGGGAUGGGCCCGCGGCCUACCAGCUUGUUGGUGGGGUGAUGGCCUACCAAGGCGACGACGGGUAGCCGGCCUGAGAGGGUAACCGGCCACACUGGGACUGAGAUACGGCCCAGACUCCUACGGGAGGCAGCAGUGGGGAGUAUUGCACAAUGGGCGCAAGCCUGAUGCAGCGACGCCGCGUGAGGGAUGACGGCCUUCGGGUUGUAAACCUCUUUCAGCAUCGACGAAGCGAAAGUGACGGUAGGUGCAGAAGAAGGACCGGCCAACUACGUGCCAGCAGCCGCGGUAA